CAACUCAAAAAGCUGCAUCAUACUCUAAAAAAAACGACAAAAAUAUGCCGUUAGAUAUGAGUUCCCCCUAAAUUCCUUCUUUUUAUAGGUCUAAUCAAAUCAAAGAGCCAAAGUUCCUUAAAUAUUUGACUUUGAGACCAAAAGUGUUAAAUUCUGGCAAAUGUGAUGGACUAAAAAUAAUCAGAGCAUACUUAAGGGGACUACUUUGAACCUAUACUCAAACAAAAAGGGACCAUUUUGUCAUUUUCUGCUGGCUCAUAGAAAUAAACUGUUACUGUCCUCCAUUUCCUCCUCCGUCUCCGCCCCUUCCGACGAACGGACCUUCAAUUUCAAAGGCAUGGCAGAUGCGUAUAUAGCAGAUGCAGCAAUAAUAGAGGCGGAGCUAGCAUGUAUUAUGAGGGUUCACCUGAACUCCAUGGCUUUUGUUCAGACCCUACAUAAGAAUAAAAACUUUUUUCUUCUGUUGAUGGCUUGCUUCCCAUCCCAUACUCUGAAAUGGAAAUUUAUAUCACAAAUCAUUAGACCAUCAUUAGAAUUAUUAUGGAACAUGAUCAUGUAUUAUGAAAUUACCUGGAGCUGUGUAGCCGAUAGAUCCUUAACAGUUGUAAAGCUUGUCUGAAUUACAGAUGUUGUUUUAUUAGUCA